rnacentral:rRNA from 1 species
CCCUUAGAUGUUCUGGGCUGCACGCGCGCUACACUGAUGCACUCAACGAGUUUACGACCUUGCCCGAUAGGGUUGGGUAAUCUUUUUAAAAUGCAUCGUGAUGGGGAUAGAUUAUUGCAAUUAUUAAUCUUCAACGAGGAAUUCCUAGUAAGCGCGAGUCAUCAGCUCGUGCUGAUUACGUCCCUGCCCUUUGUACACACCGUCCGUCGCUCCUACCGAUUGAGUGCUCAGGUGAAUAAUUCGGACUGCAGCAAUGUUUGGAUCCCGAACGUUGCAGCGGAAAGUUUAGUGAACCUUAUCACUUAGAGGAAGGAGAAGUCGUAACA